rnacentral:rRNA from 1 species
UACGUAGGGUGCAAGCGUUAAUCGGAAUUACUGGGCGUAAAGCGUGCGCAGGCGGCUUUGCAAGACAGAUGUGAAAUCCCCGGGCUUAACCUGGGAACUGCAUUUGUGACUGCAUGGCUGGAGUGCGGCAGAGGGGGAUGGAAUUCCGCGUGUAGCAGUGAAAUGCGUAGAUAUGCGGAGGAACACCGAUGGCGAAGGCAAUCCCCUGGGCCUGCACUGACGCUGAGGAGCGAAAGCGUGGGGAGCGAACAGG